rnacentral:misc_RNA from 1 species
CAAUGAAUGAAAUAAAUGCAGGUAUAACAUUUAGUAUCUCUAUCCCGAGUUGAUUACUUUUCCACCCUUAAAAAACUCUCCCACUACUUAUAAUGCAGGACUGUUGAACAACAGUUUUGCCAGCAUUACCAUGCACACAAAUUAUCAAGGGUCUGCUGGGUUGCAAAGUUUUUUUAACUGGGUUUUGUAAUUAGCCUUUUUGUAUGGAGAUCCUGAUUCUCAUCUUUUUUUAAUGCUAUUUACAGGGGAAAAAAAAAAUACUGGAGUUUUUGUGGAACUUCUUUUAGGUCAUUUUAUUUUCAAACUGCCUUUGGUUAAGGUCAAUAUUAUCAUUGCGAUGUCAUUUACAGAUCUGUUAUUAUAAAAGAAAAAGUAAAUCAUAUCUCCCUCACACGUAAGUGGAAAGUGCUCUUUUGCUCCAAAAAAUACUCAUUUAUAUCAAUUGAUUAGCCCCUUCCUCUAUUUUUUAAAUCUUUUCUUUAUCCCUGCAUUUCUUUACUUGAAACUCUUUAAGUGUUUCUUUUACCUGCGGAAAUGCUUAAUCUUUUCCUUCUUCUUCCUUAGGUGAGCAGAAGAAGGAUUGAAAUUAAGAAAGUUAAUCUCUCCCACCCUUUUUAGUAGUAAAGAGUCAAACUUUGGUUUCUCUAGAAUCUAGACAACAUUCAAACCCAUGGAUACAGAUCUAGAAAGGAGCUAUGACAGACCUCAAUAUCUUUUCCAUCAAAACCAAAAUUCCAUGUGUAGGGUUUAGCCCAAUUCAAAUAGUGCAGAAAAGUGUGGUUUUGUGGAGGUACAUUAUACAUCAGGAAAGAUUAGAUUCAAGGACGUAGAGAUUUGGAUGAUUAUUGUAUUUCUAGAACAGUUGAUUUAAAAGCUUGCUUAAUCAGAGUUGUAUUUAAUAGGUUUGAGGUC